UUUAAAUAAGGACAUUCAAGAUAGCCAAGAGGAGAGAGUAAAAGAAGAGAGGAAAAAGAGAGAUGAGAAAGAAAAAGAAGAAAAUGAGAGGAAAGCAAGAGAAGAACGAGAAAAGGAAGAAAAAGAAGAACUUGUGAGAGAAAAGGAGAAGGAAGACGUCCUACAUACACAAGAAGUGUUAUUGAAGGCACUUUCCACUCCCAGCAUUCUAUAGGAUUUAAGCAAAUUUAGGGGAGCUUUUCCAUCUUUAUACUUUUCUCCAAUAAUUAAGCUUUCUUCUUUUCCUAAAAAAUUUUGUGAAAAUAUCCCACCUAUCUCAUAUCUUAUUACCACUUCUUCACACACCAUUUCCAACCCACAACUUAGUUAAUGUAUUCUUGUUUACAC
rnacentral:lncRNA from 1 species